UACGGAGGGUGCAAGCGUUGUUCGGAUUUAUUGGGCGUAAAGCGCGUGUAGGCGGUCUCUUAAGUCUGAUGUGAAGCCCUGGGCUCAACCCAGGAAGUGCAUUGGAUACUGGGAGACUUGAAUACGGGAGAGGGUAGUGGAAUCCUAGUGUAGGAGUGAAAUCCGUAGAUAUUAGGAGGAACACCGGUGGCGAAGGCGGCUACCUGGACCGAUAUUGACGCUGAGACGCGAAAGCGUGGGGAGCAAACAGG
rnacentral:rRNA from 1 species